UACGUAGGGUGCGAGCGUUAAUCGGAAUUACUGGGCGUAAAGCGUGCGCAGGCGGCGCGUUAAGACAGGUGUGAAAGCCCCGAGCUUAACUUGGGAAUUGCGCUUGUGACUGGCGGGCUGGAGUGUGGCAGAGGGAGGUGGAAUUCCACGUGUAGCAGUGAAAUGCGUAGAGAUGUGGAGGAACACCGAUGGCGAAGGCAGCCUCCUGGGCCAGCACUGACGCUCAUGCACGAAGGCGUGGGGAGCAAACAGG
rnacentral:rRNA from 1 species